UACGAGUCCAUGAAGAUGUUUCUCCCAGACUCCUGAGUGCAAGAGUAUGACUUAUUUAUUUUAUUUUCAUUUGUAACCAAAACCUUCCCCUGACUCCCAUUGGCCCCAGCUGAGAAGGGAGAGAGGGCCGACCCGUCAGGCGUUGAUCACCGGGCCAACGGGAGACAGUGUGGCGUGAUGCUGACGCAGCCCACUGACAAGCCAGCGCGAGGCCCAGGGGAGCAGCUCUGAGCCGAGCAGCCAGAGCCAGGCAGGACUGCAAGCAUGGUUUCUUCAGAUGCCCACUUAAGGAAAACUUCUCAACUCUUCUACUUCUAAGAAUCCCCUGCCUCCAUCCCUAGAGAAUCAUGGCUUCAAAAUGAAACAUAAAACAAAGUUUUGAGCUGACUUUGGUCGAAAUCUCAACUGCUAUAAGACAGAAACUGUACGGUACUGUCUGCAGGUCGACCACAUUGGUGGGGAAAUACAUGAUUCAGGCCAGCCACCUGCCCCUGCUUUCCAGGAUUCUACCACUCAGCUCUGAUCAAGCUAGCAUCCCUCCUCCUGUCACCAGCAAAGCCAAUGAAAAAUUUCCAAGAAUUAGAAAUAGAAUCUGGGUAAUAAAGUCUAACCUUUUUUCCCUUUGUGCUUGGACAAAGGAAAUAGUUUCAUUUGCUCAUAGUGGGGCAUGUGCAGAGGCCUCACACUGGCCAUUCAGACCAGUUCCUAGUACAAAAUGGCCAUGCCCACAGCUCAGCUCAGGGCAUAUGCAGGAGCGCUGCUCUGGCACUGUGACCCAAAACCCUGCGCAACAUGCCUGCGCCAGACUCAUGAAAGCUCCGCCCUCUUUCCUCCAUAGUAAGACUUCAAUAAAGCAGGCCUGCUAAUGGCUUGUUGGGGAGAACGUGUGCUAAGGAGCAAAGUUCCCCAACUUCUGGGAUCUAAUGCCUGAUAAUCUAGUGGAGCUGAAAGAAUAAUAAUAGAAAUAGAGUGUAUAAUAAAUGUAAUGUGCUUGAAUCAUCCUGAACCCAUCCCACCCACCCCCACCCCCAGGCCAAGGAAACAUCGUCUUUCUAAAAUCCAGUCCAUGGGGCCAAAAAAAGGUUGGGGAUCCCUGCUAUACAGCACAAUCUCGCAUCUGUCCAUUUUCUGAUCCAAAAAUAAAAACUUUCCUUGGCUUCUGAUCCCAGCUUGGCCUGAUUCUGUUGGCCCAAAGGACACCAAGCAGGAGGACCCUUGCUGGGGACCAACUCUGGAAAGUAAAUGACAGUCCCCAACCCUAGGUACCCACUGUGAGCUUGAUCAUGAGAACCAUUUUUGCCAAAGCAUGGAAAGGCCCCGCUAAUGGGAAAAAAUCAACCUGGAGCCUAAACAAGAAAGAACCUUUCUCUUCCACAGAUCGGAAGUGGGGCUAAAGAUGUCGGUUUUACCUGACUUAAAGACAGCGAAGGAUGAAGUAAGAACCACGUACUGCGCUUGGCACACGGGAAACAAGCAGCAAAUGGCUAUUGUUGUUACACAGUUUUUACCCUUGCGCUCUCUAUAACAGGAUUGAGUCAUGCAUCUUAAAAAAUCGGUGUUGGAUUCCAGUGCUGGGCAGAGGGAAAGGUUACCCCUAAUUCAGUCUGAGAGUGACAGUCAGAUGGAGCCCUGGGGAUCCAGUUUGCUGGAAGACACCCCAGUUCUUUCAGCCUGUAAAGCAGUGGCA
ensembl:lncRNA